GGAGGUCAGAAGAGACUGCAGGCUGCCGGGAGCCCAGCCAGCAGGGGGGGAAGGAAGGGAGGAGGAGUCCAGGCCGAGGUUGAGGGCCCUUGGAGGCAGCAGGACUUCCUGCUGCCUCAUCAGUCUUGCGGGCUUUGGACAGGGCAAGGCAUGCGAAAACGAUGAGACAGCAGGACUUCCUGGUCACGUGGGGGGCCAAUUUUGUGCCCCCCACAUGACCAGAAGAGUGGUGCCCAGGGACAAAGGGGACCCUUUGUCCCUAGGUAGAUACACCAUUGGUCAUGGGGGUGUACCCAGUGGUACACCACUUCAGCAGAACUGGUUGUUAAAAUGGUGCUUGUAAACAACCAGUUGUUAAAAUUAUUUGAAUCCCACCACUGGAACCGGUUGUUAAAUUAGUUGAAUCCCACCACUGGAUGCACCCCUUCUCUCAUGGAAUCCAAAAAGAGGGCAGAUCCAUCCACGUAGUAUAUUAUACAUGUGGCAAACCACUUUUGUGUGGGGACUCUCUUGGUCUUACAGUAACCACCAGGCUUUUUGUGUGCAAUUAGUGCCGCCAGUUUCUACUUAAUAUGUUAAUUUUAAUUGCUGUGACUUUUACUGCUCUUAAUCACUUUUUCUUUGUAUAAUUAUCCUUGCUGUACAUUGAGCCGUUCUGGGAAAAGCUAUUUAUAAACACUGCAAAUAAAUGAUGAUUUUUUAAAUUUCCACUUUCCCUACCUGGGCCUUCAGGAAAAUCCAACUCCAUGCAUCUCGAGAUGAUCCACAUAAGCAAGUUGCGCUAGAUUUUAUAGUGAGAUAAGGAGAAUCAUCACACACACACAAAAGGAGUUUCUCAGGUUCCAUGAGUUUUCCUCUGUCAAUGAGAAUGGAGGUAUCACUGGGGGCUUUUUUGCAUAAAAAGAACUUUGAUACAAGUUGAGGAUUUAACAAAAAGAUCUCAAAUUUUCUUUAAUAGCCAUAGAUGCUUCCUGGACAGGAAAAGCCAGGGUGGGGUAUGUGUGUGUCGUAUGUGUCGGAGAGAGAAACAAUGUUUUUUUGAAUUUGGAACCAGCAGAAAGAAUUUCUAGCUGAAUUUAACUAAAACUGGAGAUUGUUCUGCCGGCAAAAGGAAGUGCUUGUUUGCCUCCAUGUAUGUUCCGCUUGUAUAUUUGUAAAUAAAGCAAUUAUGAUGAAAGACA